CAGGGUUCCGCCCCCUCACUCUCUUUAUCGCUGUUGACUCCAAAAAGUUGUACUCACAAAGUUACCAGCAGAUCUGUUUGUGCGGCUCCAUGUUUACUGGUGCUGCUGCAUGUGGAUGACCGAAAUAUCAGUUUUUGUGACAAGUGCAGCUUAGUUUAUCCGUGUUUUGGUUUUGACCAAAUGUCUCUGUAUGGACAUGAUUUUUUUUGUCAUAAAAAAUAAAUAAUAAUUAAGAGAAAAGGAAAACAAGCCAGCUGCUGGUGGAUUUCUGUAGCUGGUGUUCAAGACACGUUCAUGCGUAAAAACAAGAAGACGGCAGUGGCGCAAAGUUAAUUCAAUUAGGCUUUUUUAGGGGUUAAAAAGAAUGGCUUCGAAAACACGAAGCUUUUUUUCAAGACGUAAUAUGAACUGUCAAGAAAAUAAAAAAUGCCAAGGGCACAUGUGAGCAGACAUUUCCACAUUAAAAUAAAUAAGUAAAAUACAGUUCAAGGUAAAUCAAUAAAACGCAGACAUCAGAAGAAUAUCUUUUCCCUGGAUUUAGGUGUUGUUAGUUUUAACCCUUUGCUCUCAGCAGCAGUUUAUUGCUCAGUAUUCUGUGGAUAUGAUUCUUUUUCUCCAUAUGGCGAUUACAAAUAAUUUGGCUAUCGCAGUUAAAUUUAAAGAAGCAUUAAAUUAAGUUUUAAUAGUGCAGGCUGUCAUUCUUCUAUAAUGCUGAAGGUAGGAAAACCAGCAAAAAUCUCUUAAAACUUGAUUUGUUCACUUUAUUUUUUCAAACUUCCCCGUUUAAAAAAAAUCACUUAAUAUAAUUUAAGUUGCGGUUUUAUUCUAUGAGAAGUUAAAGCAGACCUUUUCUUGAGGUGUGAAGGUUCAGCAGUAAAUUAAAUCAGCUUGACAUUUUAUUUCAGUGACUGUCUUGGCAGCACCUUCAAAGGUGUUAUUUUUUUUCUUUUUGCACACCAACAAACCAUUAUUCACCAGCUUUUUCCCCUCGUCUUGCUUCUAACCUGGCUUGGCAGACACUUAAACUGCAUUUAGUUCACUUCACUGACAGAUCAUGCCCCUGUUGACAGCAGUACGUGGAACAGUUACUGACAUGUCUUAAUUCAUGUUUCCAAUCGAACUGGGGGGAAGUCGCCUAAAAAAACAAAAAACUACAAAUAAGCAACUCGCAGGUUUUUGGAACCUGAAAAAUAAAUAAAAUGUACGUGCAACUUCAGACAUUGAACCAGUGGCGCACUGAUCCUCCCUCGUGAAGUUUUCUUAUUGAUUUUCAUUCUGUUAGAAAGGAGAGCUCCAGAUCAUGGGGCAGGUGCGCAUCAUGUUCCCAUUGAAACUGAUUUAUGAACUUCAUCAUCAGCAACUGAGGUGAAGGCUUCACUUUAAGAAUUUUUAUUAUUUACAAAUGGGGUGUUGCAGAAUUACAUAGAAUAAAAAAUAAAACGCAUAUGAAUUCAUGUUAGGGUGAUGUUUAUUAGCAGGUGACCAUUUUAUUUAAUUUGGACAAUGACUCUGGCUCAUGUUUAUACUAUUAUUACAAUUUUUAGGUCUCUAAAAAUAUAUCACCCAUGACCACCUAUGUGUGUGUGUGUGUGUGUGUGUGUGUGUGUGUGUGUGUGUGUGUGUGUGUGUGUCGUUAAAUAAAUAAAUAUAUAAAAAAUAAAUUAUGCCCAGCUCCAAAAAGAGCUCCUGGAAGCCUCAUAAAAAACCCAGAAGGAGCGGUGGGUGCAUUGUUUAUGAUUUGUUUAGGAGGGGCCCCUGUUUCAUACACAGUAAAUUAAAGCAACACGGUAAAUUGCAGCUAAUUGAUACACGGGCAAAUUUAACACCAAAAUAUAGAAUUUUGAUGAUUAAAAUACCAACAAUUUGUAAAUAUCAUUCAAUUACCACUUUAUCUAUUUUAUUUUGAAAUUUUAAAAAAAAAAAACCAGAAUGGAGUUUCCUGAAAGAAUGGGUUAAUUUUUAUUGACAUAUAGUUUCCACAUUACCCCCCCAAAAACUGUCGAUGCCUCAGAGAGAAGCGGGGGCGUCUUGAACCUCUCUCUCUCUCUCUCUCCCUCUCUCUCUUUAAAACAAAGACGCUUUGUCAUAAACAGGGUUAUUUUACCAAAAGGAGUCAAGGGGGCAACAUAUGUGGUCUUAACGGGUCAUAGGUCAAACAUCCAUGAAACACAAGGUCACGGAAGCCACACAAGUAACCUUCCAGUGUGUCAACAUAUUGAUACUGUCAGAUAACACAGGGGAAGAAAUACGCCUUUGGCACCCAUUAGAAUACGCAGCCGUGAGCGCCCUUCUGUGAUCAAGACUGUUGAUUUUAUUGAGAUUUCUUCUCCUGUCAGCUCCAACUUCAGAUCACACUCUGAGCAGUGCAUAUUUCAAGCGAUUUAAUUGUUACAUCUGCAGGGCCACGUCUCAAUGUGUGCUUCUGAAAACCUGUUGAAAUACUUGGUCUUUGGGGAUUUUUUCAAUAGGCUGGACCCCUCUUCUUCUCCCAAGCAGAAGGAAAACCCGCAACCAUGUGCCUCUUCCCGAUUGAUUUUUUUCUUCCUCUAAAUUUUGUUUUUUCACCCUAUCUGGGGAAGGUUUUUUUUUUUUCUGUGGUUUUCCAGAGAAAUAAAGAACUUCUUAUAGGGUCGGCAGCCGUGACUUUGAACUUGGAUCAGCUCCUGCGUUUCCUGUGGUGAGGGUUAAAAUAGACUUGGAAGAAUGGCACACAACGCUCAGCCUGUCCCACUCUGAGCUAGGAGACACACAAUUUCAAAAAAAAAAAAAAAAAAAAGUUUUUAAAACGUUUUCCCUCUCGCCUUCGCCAUUAUUUGUCACCCAGAGAGACUCGGAGAGCUGAGACAGACAGACUGAGGUAGGCAGGCAGACAGACAGACAGGCAGGCAGGCAGACAGACAGACGGCAGAGCUGCUGGGAUUUGUUGAAAAUGUUUAUCUAAUGAGACAGAAAUGAAAGAGGACAGGGAUCAAACCGGUUGCGGUCCCCACGAUGCAGACUCUUAUUCGUUGACAGACAGCGAGAGGAGGGUGCCGCCUCUCUUCUUAUCCACUCUUCUCUCACUUUUUGCCUUUUGGGGAACACACCGCUUUGCAACCAGGGAAUCAUUUGGGAACCCCAGAGGAGACGAAGGACCAGUUGGCAGAGAUUGGAGAGGGGAUGUAUCUCACGGCUUCGGGUAAGGGCCUCACUGUGGCCAUGCAGGCAGGUUGGCCUUUGAGCUUUGACUGCUGCAUUCCUGCACAAGUUUUGGACAUUUCCCUGGUAGCCACCUGGAGAGCAACCGGCCCCAGACCUCAGUCUAUUUUUCCAUCAACAUCCAUCAUCUGGGAACAGACUGGCCUUACCUAAGACAUGUAACUUUAGGAAAAUGUUUUCUACUUUUUUAGAGCAAGACAACAGGACAAUCUAUGAAAACACAAAGGCAGCUAUCAUUAUUAUUAGACUGAGAUGAACUUUACUGUCAUUCACUGCACAUUCGAUCGAAACUUGCAUUGGCUCAUUGUAGUAUAAGUAAGACUAUUUACCCUCCUAAUAAACAACAAGAAGCUAAGAUUAAUAAGUAAGUGUCUAAAAAUGACUACAGCAAUACAUUUAAAUAUAAAAAGCAUCAAAGAAUAGUGUUGUGUAUUGCAGACAUAGGUCAGACCGAAUGUAUUGCACAUCAAUUAUUGCACUUGAGCUCAUUGUGUGUAUGAGGAUGGUGGGGGAUUAAUGUGAGAUUAUCGCGCAUUAUUACGAGGAUACAAGUGGCAGAAUUUGUGCACACAUAGUUUUUAAACUACCAAAAGCUCAAAAGCAGAGAUGGAAAGUUUUUCUUGGUGAAAUGACAAACACAAAAACUACUUUCUGAGCCACAAAAGGAUCUUUUUUUUGCCACUUCUUGCCAUAAACACUGUGUUUUUCCCAUAAACACUCUUUUCCAGUGUUUGUGACAAACAAAGAAAACGUCAAAAACCAGGAAUGAGUGAGUAGAUUAAAAGUAAAGAAACUGAAGAUCAAGAGAAAAAUGAAAGCGAUGUACAACUGUUCCUUGUAGAUAGACAGGUUUUUUAACUGCCUUGUUGAAAAGCUACUAAGUGUGCGGCAAGAAUCACAUAGUUUUGCUUUGUCUUUACAUGUUGUGGGCCCCAUUGUGUGGUUCUCUUCAGUGAGGAUUUUAGAUUGCGCCUGCUGAGGUUACAGUUACAAACAAGAAAGAACAUCUAAAGAGGCCGCAGUUUAUUAUGAAAGGAAAGCCAUUAUUUCCAGCAUCCAAGCAGCACAACACACGGGGGAAGGUGACAAUAGGUGAGGAGAAGUGAAGGUGGGAGAAAUAGGGCAGUUAGACGGGCAGGUGGAUGGAGACGGAGCGGGAACAAACAAAUGAAGAGGGCACCUCAUACGUGGCUCCCCCGCCGGGCCCGCUUGAAUAGAGCCAGAGCAGAUGUCAAAGGACAAGCCUCUCAGCCACAUUGUACACAUAUCUGUCACCACAGCACCCUGACAAAAUAUUGGCAACUAGGUAAAUAUUGUGGAUGGCAGGGGGUUAGAGGUGUAUGCUGGACCUGUAAGACUUAAGUGAAAAUCAAUAGUGGUGAGCUGCUGAGGCCACAGUGGUGUGUGUGUCUGUGUCUGCAGAACAGUGUGUUGGGCUGGUGUGUUUGCGGUAAUGGCAGGCUAUCAUAAUCACAGGACACUUAGAAAGGUCAGAGUGUUUGGUGAGCACUCUGUCUCUUCUAUAUACACUACAUAUAUACUAGUAUAAAUCUCUCUCUCUCUCUCUCUACAUAUAUAUAUAUAUAUGUGAAAUGCAUUCACAAAGUCAUAUACAGAGGUAAUUUGAGCUUUUCUUUAUUCUUUUCUUUCUCACUUUUUCAGCCUCUCCUUGAUUUUUGCAUUAUUUUGAUGCACAUAUUAUGUCAAAGAAUUUUAUUUCUACAUUUGUUCCACCUCUUCUUUUUUUUUCUUUAUGCAGUCAAUUGCAAAUUUUGUAAAUGUUUAAAGUCCAUCCUCUACCUUUUCACUUGGUUUCUCUAAACGCAAAAUCUGAUUAAGCAAAACCCAGAAAACCCAUUUUGUGAUUCAUACCUCUUUGCUCCCUUCAUCGACCAAGCAGAACAGCUAUUGCUCACUCACUCAGUAAUGAAGACCCCGAGCAAGCCCAGACGGGCCUUUUGGGCAAACAUACAGAUACACACCGCCACACAAACACAUGUCGUAGGGGUUAAUAAACACAGCUCAAAUGUUGGGUUAAGGACUGGAGCACGGGCCCAGAAUCAAGCUGUUUUGGGUUUCAUCACCAUCCUAAAUCUAAUUCCAUGUUCUAGAGGUGGAGUGGUUAACUGCUUUCUGCUGCAAUGCUAUGGUCAUGUCAUCUAAGAGAAAUCCAAGCGUAUGAUUAGGCCUCGGCAGGUUUGGGUGAGGCCGAGGGGAGACUGUGGGUGGGAUAGGCAGGUUGGUUUCAGGGGGACUUUCUAAUAGGCAUUUACUUGGUGAGAGCUCCCGCCUUCAACACACUCACACACACUCACACACACACAAUUUCUACACUGUUAUUGCUCUGUCUCCUUCUUUCUCUCUCACUCAUUUGGUGAUCUCAUGGAGUGAGACUUUUCCAUGGAGGACAAUAGCAGUGGAAAUGGAUUAUGAUUAUAAAGGAUAGGUAGUGGGUUGGCACAGCACCUACACUGUGCAGCAUUAAUAUGGCGAAGCACUCCCCAGGAGGCUCUCUGUCCUUUCUGCCUAAACUGUAGGCUUGGUGAUUUCUCUUUAUGCCACUUUUCGGUAUACACUAUACCGUGCCUUUGCGCUUACACCUUACAUUAUAUUUGCUGAACACCUUCAAUAACCCUCCGCUCUGCAACUGGGAACAUUUGAAAUCUCCUCUGGCUUUUUGCUGUUAUGAGGGAAUUCAAGUGUGAAGGUUUGAUAUGGUCAAAUAAUCAGCAUUAAUUUGAUAGAAUCACAAAAGCGAUACCUUUUUCUCUUUUUUCCCUUUUUUUUGUCUGCCUCCCCCAUCAAAUAAUUAGUUGCACAUUUUAGAUAUUUGAUAGCAGUUUGGCCAUUAAUAAUUCAUGCUCACUAAAUUCAUAAAACAUCAUCUUGUCCCCAGCAAGUAACAUUUGAUAUUACAUCUAAGGCCCAGAGCAGAGAUGUUUGCCAGAAUCCCAUCAAAUGAAAUUUCUAAAAAUACUGACUAGCAUGUUCUCCCUCAAAGGCUCUCAGUGGCCCUUUAAGAACGACUGGAGGAGGAGAGAAGUCCCCUGCUAUCUAUUUUCUUUGGCGCCACAGCUCUUUUCUGAACGUCUUCCAUUUGAUUCCCUGCCUCUCCUUUUUUUCCCCUUUUCCCUCUCCCUCUCUUCUAGCCCCUUCUCAUGAUGUCAAUUUAAUUCAAUCUAAAGCAUUUAAAGCGACCAGUAUCUUUUAAUGUCUGUUGGAAAGGCACUUGUAACACAUUAAAUUUACUUUCACCUUUCUGCUGGGAUUUUAAGGGGGGGAAAUAAAGAUCAAUUAUUUGCCGAAUCUGAAGUUUCAUUAAAAUCACUUUUCUCUGUCUGUGUCCUUGCAUCGUUUUAAGUGGGCCAUCUGUCUAAACAUCUCUCAGGGUCCUUUUUCCUUUUUUUUCUGAUCAUUUCCUCGCCUUAUUCAUGAACCCUAGGAGUCCAGCUUUGUAGUAGUGUUGGAGCUGGAGCAGCCUACCCCCACUGAAUACAGCUCUGGGCCUCAGCCUGCGCAAGACUCCCCCUCUUACCCUGUUACCUCUCCCCCACUCUCCCAAAUAGCCUCCCCUCCCCUUUACUUCCCUCCACCUCUUCCCCAUAAGGGCCCACAGAAUCUCUGAACUUGCUACACAGAAAUGACCCGCCUUAUUGUGAUCAGUUAUCCUCACCCUCUCUUUCUCUCUCCCUCUGCCCCUCUCCAACCCACCCACUGUUUCAGAUCCCCCUGCCUUCGUCCCUUAGCCUUCCCUGCCUCUCCUCCUUAUUGCAGAUUUGUAUGCAGGCUGUGACCUGGGUGGCUACAAAGCACCGCACAUUAUUCUUGAUCAUUCCUCUGCCCCCCAUGAAGCCAGUUAUGAGGAAAGAUCCCUUAAUGAUGCUUUGACUAUUAACAGUGUUUUAUGUCCAAAUGUCUCCCUCGUUCUUCUAACCAACCAGUCAAAUAUAGAUACAAGAAACCGGGGAAUCUGCAGUGAUGAGGUUUUGGUAAAAUAUACAUAAGCCCGUUUGAUUAGGACCAUAAUUGCCAAGUAAAGGGUAUAGUCGAAUGACUGAGGGUUCUAGUAGGACUGAAGUUGAACAUGAUUGGAGCUGAUGGUGCACUUUUAUGUCAAUUUAUUCAAAUUUUUUACACUGUUCUCGCAUAUACUGUCUUAUCAGCAUGAAUAACCUGUGCGAGUUGGUGAUUGUAGCUUGGAAAAUGUGCCAAAUGGUGUGAAGGUGUCUUAUUUAGGUGAUAAAAAUGAGUUUUUAAAAACUUUUAAAGUCUUGUUUGGGAA